GCGGAGGGACUGGGGUGAGAGUGAGUCAGGGAGGGACAAGGCUUUCAUCAGUCAUCCCUGGUGGACCCUCCCAAGAAAACCCUAAGGGGUUCCAAGAGCCUCUCAUUGGGGAAGUGUCCACAGUUGGGAGGGUGACGCACCCCGAACUCCACAGAGACUGAAGCUCCUGGAUCCCACCUCUCGCACACCUGGCCCCUACUUCCUCAUCUGCCUGUACAUCCCUUUAGGAUCCACAGCAUCAAGAACAAGUAACCACCUGGAUAAGGGAAGGCUCUGGGACCCAUUCAGGAUGUUAUUGAUGUUUUUGGAGAUGACGUCCAAGAGGAAGAGUUGGCAUUGCAUGGAGAGAUAAUGAGCUGUGUGGUGAUCAGCCCAGGCCUCAGAAGAAGUAGAUAAGGGGCAACCUCAGAGCCCUUCACCCACUGGACGCCACUGAGGUUUGUUAGGGACAGGAUCUCUGGAACAGGCACUACACCCCAUUGUGAUGUCCAGACGCCAGCUGGGUUUCCAGGGGCAACGGGGCUGCCCCAGUUCUGAGCCCAGGGGACCCCAGGAGGCAGAUGUGCUCUGGGGCGUGAGAUCCAUUAAGUCCGCCUCAGGAAAGCUGCAUCCUCCACACUGAAACCACACCGGCAUUAGGACACUCCACCCAGCCUCUGGAAACACCCACCACUGCCUUCUUCUGGAAAGCACCUGCUCUAGUCCCUGGAGACUCGUAUUAGGGCAGAAUCCAACAGAAGAAUUCCGUGGUCAGCAGAGAAAGCCCCAUCUCAGCAUCCAUGGAGCAGGUGCAUCUGAGCACAAGCCUGGUGGACCAGCCGACAAGCCUAAGACAAGGGCACAGGAAGCCUGGGUAUUGCCCACCAACACUCCAUCCAGUUCUCCCAUGGCCUGCCUUGAGGUCUACCAAGCAUUUAAAAGUCACCUUACCUGCCUGGAGGCUGAGACCCAGGCAAAGCCUUUAAACACACACCUAAGGUCAGAGGCAACUUGAACAAGAGAAUCAGUGUUCAGAUUGCCACACUAUAUAACCUUCCCUGAUUUAUGAGCAAGGAACUUCAGACAUGGCCCAACAGAGAGCCAGAUCCCUCUAAACCCAAUGAAAAAUACCAGGUCACAGCACUCAACUUGAAGCAGGCUGGGAAAGAUGAUUUUCUGGAUUCCCCACAUUGAAGAGAAGGUAUUUCUUUUUUCUUUUGUUUUUUUCUCUUUUUAGGGCCACACCUGAAACAUAUGGAAGUUCCCAGUCUAGGGGUCUAAUUGGAGCUGCAGCAGCUGGACUAUGCCACAGCAACGCCAGACCAGAGCUGCAUCUGCAACCUACACUGCAGUUUGCAAAAACGUUGGAUCCUUAACCCACUGAGUGAGGCCAGGUAUGGAACCCACAUCCUCAAAGAGGCAGAGACUGCAUCAGGUUCUUAACCCAUUGAGCCACGAUGGGAACUCCAAGGGAGGUUGUUUCAAAAUAACUGGCAGAUGCUAGCAAUGUCUAGUACUUAAUUCUGCAAAAUCAUUACUAUAUAGAAAGCUCCUUUGGGGCGCAGUGGGUUAAGGAUCUGGCAUUGUCACUGCCGUGGCUGGGGUAGCUGCUGUGGCUGGUUCGAGCCUUGGCCCAGGGAACUUCCA
rnacentral:lncRNA from 9 species